AGCUUAAAUUUUACGAAUGGCUUCAAUCUGGCAACGCCGGUCCUGCUAGUCGUUUACAAUCGAAGGAUCCGCACGUCCUCCCGUCGGUUGCAUCUAUUUUUUAAAUUUUCUGACGAAAAAGUGCAUUUAGUGUACACAAUUUAUGCGUAAUCUGUUACUAGUGCCCUGCUUAGCCUCCUGAAAAAAUAUCUGUUCGAGUGAUGUACUGGGCGUUGACAGUUGCUGUUACAAAUCUGCAAAUGAGUUAGAACUGUACAUAAGUUUGAUGAAUGCGGGAGGAAUUUUUUGAAUAAAAUGAUACUGAAAAUCUUACCCACAAAUGACAAUUUCAAGAUACAAUCAAUAGUACUUAGAUUGACUGGCCUUCAUUGCCAAUGCGCUAUGAAAAUGUAAGCAAAACAAAUUGGUAUUAAUGGACGUUUUGAUAGCUGUUUCCAGUCCAAGUUCCAGUUUUAAUGGAAAAUCUUUAAUGGACACAGAAAAAUGCCAUUUACUUGCCUUUUAAUAAUGGCAUACGAUAGGACAAUGGCUAUUAGAAACCGAUAAGACAUACUAGCUGCAAAUAAUAUGUAUGGUGGUCAUAAAAGAGAUUUAAAUGAAAUGAGAGAGAGAAACUCUUGUGGCAGAAGAAAUCAAGGAAAACCAUUUUGAACUGCUGUUACUUAAUAGCUGUUAGAGGAGAUCCAGUUCUUCAACA